GACGAACGCUGGCGGCGUGCUUAACACAUGCAAGUCGAACGGAAAGGCCUGCUUUCCCUUGUGGAUUGCGGGUACUCGAGUGGCGAACGGGUGAGUAACACGUGAGUGAUCUGCCCCCAACUUGGGUAUAAGCCUGGGAAACUGGGUCUAAUUCCCGAUAGGACUGCAGGGUGGUGCCUGUGGUGGAAAACGAUUUUCUAGUGGUUGGGGAUGAGCUCGCGGCCUAUCAGCUUGUUGGUGGGGUAAUGGCCUACCAAGGCGGCGACGGGUAGCCGGCCUGAGAGGGUGGACGGCCACAUUGGGACUGAGAUACGGCCCAGACUCCUACGGGAGGCAGCAGUGGGGAAUAUUGCACAAUGGGCGGAAGCCUGAUGCAGCGACGCCGCGUGGGGGAUGACGGCCUUCGGGUUGUAAACUCCUUUCGACCGCGAGGAAGCCACCUGGUUGGAAGGGUGGUGACGGUAGUGGUAGAAGAAACACCGGCUAACUACGUG
rnacentral:rRNA from 1 species